rnacentral:rRNA from 1 species
GAUGAACGCUGGCGGCGUGCCUAAUACAUGCAAGUCGAGCGAAUGGAUUAAGAGCUUGCUCUUAUGAAGUUAGCGGCGGACGGGUAAGUAACACGUGGGUAACCUGCCCAUAAAACUGGGAUAACUCCGGGAAACCGGGGCUAAUACCGGAUAACAUUUUGAACCGCAUGGUUCGAAAUUGAAAGGCGGCUUCGGCUGUCACUUAUGGAUGGACCCGAGUCGCAUUAGCUAGUUGGUGAGGUAACGGCUCACCAAGGCAACGAUGCGUAGCCGACCUGAGAGGGUGAUCGGCCACACUGGGACUGAGACACGGCCCAGACUCCUACGGGAGGCAGCAGUAGGGAAUCUUCCGCAAUGGACGAAAGUCUGACGGAGCAACGCCGCGUGAGUGAUGAAGGCUUUCGGGUCGUAAAACUCUGUUGUUAGGGAAGAACAAGUGCUAGUUGAGUAAGCUGGCACCUUGACGGUACCUAACCAGAAAGCCACGGCUAACUACGUGCCAGCCGCCGCAGUAA